UCUCCCUUCCCCCACCAAAAAGCUGUAUUGGAUUUUUGUUUUUUGUUUCUAGAAAUAGGUGUAACAUUUCAGAAUUGAGCAUUGGUCCUCAAGGCUUCUUCCAGUUCACUGUGUGUGGAAUCUGUCACCUCUUUUCAGUGUCCACCAUCUGACUCACUGAGGAUAUCUUGGACACUUGUUUGCCCACUUGAGGGUUCAAAAGCCUUACUCUGUGUUUCAGUAUAGGGCUAAGGCAUCCCCAAGCUCUUCGUGAUAGGUUUCCUUUCCCCUACUUGACCUUGUAUUGGUACCAUGAAAAAGCACACAGUCCUAGCUCCCUGGAGGUACACACUCCAGUACUGUUAGGUGGACUCUACUCCUAACAGGGAUCCUAGAGGGUUCUCUGGAGGAUGGGAAAGGAGCAGUCUCAUGUCCUGCCAAGUAGUAGCCAGCAGUUGCCUUACCCCUGCCUGCUGGCCAUGUUCCCACCUCCUCAUGGAGAGGGCUUUCAGAGGUCCUCGAGGCUGGAUUUUCUCAGUCUCUGCUGUGCCAUUCUGAGUGGGAAGCAGACCACACUUUGUGGCCAGGUGUCUAAGUGGAAGUGAGGUCUUGAAUUCUCGGUGGACUUUUUGGUUUGUGGGGGAGUUUUGGUUGUGUUUCUUGGUUCUAUUUCAGCCAAACUUGCCUGCUUUUGAUUUCUUUAAAGGAUAAGUGGUCUAUCUAUCUAUAUACAUGUAUGUUUGCAUUUUAAUUGUAAAUGUUUUGAAAAAAAACCCAGACAUGUCUUUCUAUAACUGACAUCCGAUUCAGACAUCAUUCUCUCCCCUUUCACCCUCUUUUCCCUCUUUUCAUACUCUUGUAUUGGUUCUAAUAAAGGAUUGCUUUUCAAAUAUGAAAAAAAAAAGAG
rnacentral:lncRNA from 1 species